UAGGCUUUAGUCUAAACAAGACAGUUGAUUUCGACUCAGCAGAUUUGGGACUACCCCCAAAUGCCUAC
rnacentral:tRNA from 1 species